rnacentral:lncRNA from 1 species
GCAGAGUACAGUUAGGCAUACACUACAGCUGGUUUUGAUGAUAUUUUCUUGUUAAAGACAACAUUAUUAGAAAAAUGUGUAAACAGGACAGGGCAGUGGAGGCCCCCUCUUGAUUUUAUAGCCAAAGACUCCCACCCUUCCGUGGCUUUUCUGUACCGUCUGCCAUGUUGAUUCUAUGUAAAAAACCCAAAUGCAGGCAUUCCACCAAUGUAAUGCUCUCCUUCUCUGAGAGUCCUUUCAUUUCCCCAAGAGCUUUGGAAUCAUUGGAGUUACAGUGGUUCCGUUACUUUAUUCUUAUAUAACUUUGGGCAAGUUAUUUGAACCUUGAUCUCUUCACUAGUAUAAUGGUUGUAAAAAUAAUAUCUAUCUCAUAAGUUAGGAAAAUGAACUGAAAAUACACUAAAUUAAAUAUGUCAAAUAUCUAGAAAAGUACCUGGUGCAUAAUGAGCACUCAAAUAGUAUUUAUUGUUAUUAGCUACUAUUGUGAUCUUCUUAAUAAAUCCUGUCAAAUAUUAUUUCAAAAAGACUCUUUCUCUCCCGUCCUUUUCAUUUUUAGUUUUAUCAUUCCAUUUAAAGUGGAAAAGAGGCCAGGCGCGUAGUUCGCGCCUGAAAUUCCAGCACUUUGGGAGGCCAAGGAGGGUGGACCACUUGAGGCCAGGAUUUGGAGACCAGCCUGACCAACAUAGCGGAACUCCAUCUCUACUAAAAAUGCAAAACAUUAGCCGGGUGUGGUGGCGGGAGCCUGUAGUCCCAGCUACUCAGGCAGGAGAACUGCUUGAAUCCAGGAGGCAGAGGCUGCAGUGAGCUGAGAUUGCACCACUGCACUCCAGCCUGGGUGACACAGCAAGACUCCUUCUCAAAAAAAAUGAACAAUAAAAAAAUAAAGUGGAAAAGAAAUGUACAUUUCUUGACUUCCUAGUUUCCCAUCCUACCCAAUCAACUAACACACCAAUACCCUCCUUAAAACUAUUCAACUUAUUGUGAAUACCAGGUAGAGGCAGAAGAGAUACAAAUCCAAUAGGAUAUCUAAUUUUUAAUACUUUUCAGCUAGUUUAGUUGAUGAAUAUUUACUGAGCACUUACUAUGUACUACAUUAUGCUAUAUUCUAGAGACUAGAAAAGAAUGGGCAAGAGGUGUUUUCUGCCCUCAAGGAGCUUAGAGUCUUGGUAUAUAUUCUGGGAUUAGAGAGUAAGAGAAGGCAUCCUAAAAUUAAAAAAUAAAUAAAUUUAAAAAGGCACCUGAGCUGAAUCUUGAAGGAUGAGUAAACUUUAACCAAAUAAACAAUAGGAGAGAAAAGGUUUUCAAGGCAGAGGGAACAGCAGGUACAAAUAAAUGAAAGUAUGAAACAGCUUUGAAUUGCAAGCAGUUCAGAAUUAAUAGAGUAAAAAUCAUGUAAUAGAGAAUACUGGAAGACAAAAGUGGAUUUACAGUUUACCUAGAGAGGCAGGAAUCUGGUAGGAUUUCAAUCUGCAUCAAUCUAAAUAGGAGGAACUAGUGAUUCCAUUUCCAAAUAAGCCAACACCUUCAUUAGCACCAAACUUUCACCAGCUGAGUUCCCCAACAUAGGACAUGCCCACUAUCUUUAGGUCACAAAGACAUCAGGUGUUUUCAGGCUCAAUCAUGAGUUAUUGGACAAGUUCCUUUGUUAUUCUUUUUGCCAUUAGUUCAUCAUUUGUAAACUGGAAUAAUAAUCAUGGCUUUUCUUUUUUUUAUUAUAUUUGAAGUUCUGGGAUACAUGUGCAGAACGUGCAGGUUUGUUGCACAGUAUACGUGUGCCAUGUUGGUUUGCCACACCCAUCAACCCGUCAUCUAUAUUAGGUAUUUCUCCUAAUAUUAUCCCUCACCUUGCCCCACAGCCCCUGACAGGCCCCUGUGCGUGAUGAUCCCCUCCCUGUGUCCAUGUGUUCUCAUUAGUCAACUCCCAUUUAUGUGUGAGAACAUAGGGUGUUUGGUUUUCUGUUCCUGUGUUAGUUUGCUGAGAAUGAUGGUUUCCAGCUUCAUCCACGUCCCUGCAAAGGACAUGAACUCAUUCUUUUUUUAUGGCUGCAUAGUAUUCCAUGGCGUAUAUGUGCCACAUUUUCUUUAUCCAUUCUAACAUUAAUGGGCAUUUGGGUUGGUUCCAAGUCUUUGCCAUUGUUAAUAGUGCUGCAAUAAACAUACGUGUGCAUGUGUCUUUAUAGUAGAAUGAUUUAUAAUCCUUUGGGUAUAUACCCAGUAAUGGGAUUGCUGGGUCAAAUGGCAUUUCUAGUUCUAGAUCCUUGAAGAAUUGUCACACUGUCUUUUACAAUGGUUGAACUAAUUUACACUCCCACCAGCAGUGUAAAAGCGUUCCUAUGUCUCCACAUCCUCUCCAGCACCUGUUGUUUCCUGAUUUUUAAUGAUCGCCAUUCUAACUGGUGAACAUGCCUUUUCACAAGGUUGUUGUAAAUGAGAUCAUGCUGUCACAUACUUAGAGCAAUAUCUGCCACAUAGAAAGUGAUCAUCAAAUGCUAGCCAGUAUUAUGUAUGUGCUGCUGAAGUCUUGCUCAUUCCAGAGAUGCUGCAGCUGGGUGCUGUGAUCAGCGAGAAAGCAUAGGGCAAGGGAUUUUUCUCAACACAUCAUUGUGACCAUUUGUAGGUAAAAUUUAUUUCUGAUCCAAUAAUGUGUUCAGAUUUAUGAUCAUGGUACAUAAACUUAUGGCCCUGAAAAAGUCACAAUUUCCGUGAGUCCUGGUUCCCUCACUUAAAAAAUGGGGAGAGUGAUGCUUGUUCCGUGUCUUAUAAAGACAAAAUAAAACAACUUAUGAGAUACACUUAACCCACUGCUCAAUACACUAAACCCACUGCUCAAUACACUAAACCCACAGAGAAUCCCUUCAUCAGUGGAUUCUCUGAGUGGGGAAAAGCGCCUACAUAACGAAGUUGGUAAGGUUGGGAAAUUAAUUAAAUCACUCACUCAUUCAAAAAUACAAAUGAAGCAUAUAUGCUAAGCAAUGCCCUCCUUUCAUCAUGGAGUGUAAUACCUAUUGACCUCAACCUGACAAACAUACAAUUGGAGUUUGUAUACACAUACAACCAUGCUGUUGGUUGUGGGUGGAGAAUGAAAGAAAAGAAACACUGUUGUAUGUUGGAAAUGUUGCUUUCUUUGUCCCUUUUUUCUACACCAACAUAAAUGAUAAUUGUCACUUUCGCUUGUUAAUUGACUAAUUAUGUUUUGGUUCCAUAAUGUGCCAGUAUUUGCAUUUUUAGUCUGUUAUCUCUUUCCCUGUAAUCAAAGAGCCUUUUUUCUCUAGAAUUUCCUACAUCAGCAAACAUUUUAGAGGUAACUGCAUUACUGAACAAUUAUAAUUACUUUUGACAGAUUGAGUACUUUUAGUAUUACUUCUCUCCUGUUCUAACUCUCUUUUUCUUACCUCUCUAUAGUCCAGUCUCUUAUUUGAACAUAUCUCUCUUCCUUCCCCCAAAUCUCCCCUCUGUCUGGAAUAUUAUACUCUACUUCCCUGACUAGUAAAAUCUAACUCAGCUUUGGAGACCUUGCUCAACGUGAAGCCCCCAGGAGAAAUGUCCUCUGGUAAGAGGCCUUUCCCUACUCCUUUAAUAAAAGUAGACAUUUUCUCUCAAGAUCUCAGAGUGUACUGUCCUUAUCUCUAUGAAAGCACUUGCCAUGCUAUAUUGUAUUUAAUGCAAUGUCUGUACUUCCAAAUAGACUAUAACUAUCUAAGGGCAGGAACUAAAGUAUCUCAUUUAAUGUGAUCAUGUGUUUGUUGCAUGGAUAAAUGAAAUAAGAAGGGAUUCCUGGCUGCUUCUUCCAGGCCUGUCUCCCUUUGUCUUUAAGCCCUGGAGGAGUCAACCCUACUUUGGCAAAAAACAUUUAGCAUGUCCCCUCCUCUCUCUGAGUACUGCUACCUAUCCUAUAUCCCAAGGCUACCAAAUGCAUAUUUUAAACUUUACAGAAAAUACCAUGUUAUUUAGUAUUUUACCAUUUUUAGGGUAGGGCAUAGGAAUGUGUUCCUAUCUCUCCUGUAUUUUUUCUAACCAAUGUUUUCUCUAAUUUUUAAACCCUUUCAUGGAGGCGUUUUGUAUUUUAGGUGCUGUCAUUCAGAGUCCACAGGAUGGAUGAAUGGAUAUGAAAAUGAACAAACGUGUGACACAACACUGCAUGAUUUACCGGCAAUGACUUUCUGAUCAAGCCUGAAGUGGGUUGUAGCCUCUUUAUUUACUUUUUAUUUGACACAUAGCAGAGAGAGAUUUAAACUAUCUCUUAUUGGCCUUUUCCCUGCGUCUUAGCUUGGUUUCUGUCAGUGUUUCCCAGCAUCGAGAAAUAAGGACUAAUCUGUCAUAUUAGAUCUAAACUCUAAAAGAAAAGGACUUUGGGCCUUAUAUCUGCCACCCAUUCUUUCAAUGGAGGUGACACCCCUCACUUCUAUAUUUCCAGUCAUCUCUCAAUGAAAAGGAACAUGCAGGCUGGCUGGCCUUUGGAGAGCACCCCACACAGUUUUGAGGAGCUCUGCAGCUCUGCUUGCCCUUUCUGCAUCACAGCAGAUCCAAAAGGUGAAAAAAAAAAAACAAAAAAAGGAGGGGGUUGGGGUGUUAGCAUCCUUGCUUCCCCCACCAGCACCACACAGCUGUUCGGAGGUUUAGUCUUCAAAAGCCUCUUGAUUACCAUGCAAACUCUCCAUGUCUUAAAAAAAACAUACACACAGUAUACAUGAGAAUGCUAAGCAUAAAAUUUGAAGAAUAGGCUGUUAAUUCUUAGGCACACGUUAUAUGGUGCAUAUUCUUUGCCCACAGAAAUAUCUGGUAGGAUGUACAGAAAGUAUUGGUGAAAUAUUUCUACUUACAAAUUGAGGGAAGAUGGGGUAAACCCAUGUCAACACAAAAUUUUUUGAGAUUAGAAUUUUACUUUUUUUUUUCUGUCAAAAGUUAUCAAUUCCAAUUCCAGAAUGAGAGAAACCCCAGUAUCUCACAGACUAUUUACACAUUAUUUAUGUGGGACCUGCUUGCUGGGUAUCCCUGAGGGGGCACCAAAGAGCUAUUUCUUUCUUCCUUUUUUUUUUUUUUUUUUUUUUUUAGAGCACAAGAGUAUAAGAAAUUCCGGCUGCCUGUUUCUGGGCUAUUUAAAUCCCAGUAGACAUGCUCUCUUGUACAGACUUCCUGGGCUCAACCCAGCUCACAGGGAGCUGGGGAAUCUGUAUUACAUUAUCAGUUAUUGUUUUUGGUCAAAUCUAAGGACAAACAUAUGAAGAAGCAGAGCAUGCAGCACUGGUUCAGGAGGUUCAAGCAACAUUAUCAGAUUCUUGUUGAGAAACAAAUGGUUGUUACUGUGCCACCGCACACUGCAGACAAUUCCUAGAUAUCGAGAGAGGUCCAAGCUAGCAACAGAGAAUUUAAUACUAGCUGCUGGACCGGGACUCCUGGGCUCACUAUGUUGCAGCUACAGAUUCUCAGAAUGCCAUUUAAACUUCCUGAGUUUAUCUGAGAAGUAAACCAAGGGUGUAGGUGAUGAGGCAGCAUUUACUGGUACAGUUAGUCCCCCCUUAUCCACAGUUUUGCUUUCCAUGGUGUCAGUUACCCACAGUCAACCACAGUCUGAAAAUGUUAAAUAGAAAAUUCUAGAAAUGAACAACUCAUAAAUUUUAAAUUGCACAUUGUUCUGAGCAGCAUGAUGAAAUCUCGUGCCAUCCACUCUAUCUCACCCUUGAAUCAUCCCUUUGUCCAGCACAUCCAGGCUGUAUAUAUCGCCCACCAGUUAGUCACUCAGUACUGUCUGGGUUAUCAGAUUGUUGCAGUAUCACAGCGCUUGUGUUCCAGUAACUCCUAUUUUACUUAACAAUGUAAAAGUGCAAGAGUAGUAAUGCUGGUAUAUUGUUAUAAUUGUUCUAUGUUAUUAUUAACUACUGUUAGCCUCAUUAACAUUUAAUUUAUAAAUUAAACUUUAUCCUAAGUAUGUAUGUAUAGAAAAAGACAUAGUAAAUAUAGGGUUCAGUACUAUGCAGUUUGAGGCAUCCAAAGGAGGGACUGCUGUACAGGCAAGGGUCCAUAACCACACCCCCCAGCACACAGCUGACAGAGCAUAUGUUUAUUGGGACAUGCUCUUGAAAGAGACACCAUAAUGAUAAUACCAUCCAUAAUCCGGACCAAUCCAUGGGUCAUAUUUUUAUCAGGCAUCACUAUUCCAUAGUACUGCUUCUAAUUGGGAUAACAAUUAUCCACUCACAUGACUUACCUUCUCAAAGUCUCGAAGAGCCUGGGUCUGUACCUGAGGGGGUUUCUCAAAUGCUCUCAAGGAAUAUGUCUGCACAAACGGGACCUUUUCACCACUUCUCCAGAUCUGUGACUGCACUGGAGGGCCUCGAUCUUUAGUGUCACUAAGAAAAGCUGUCAAUGAAACAGAACAACAAAAAAAAAGGUUUAUAUAAUAACAGCACUAGGAUCAUUCUAACUGGCACAUUCCAGCAGAAUUCAGUUUCUGCAAAAUACAAACUCAAUCUAGGCCACAUAGAAACAGUUUACUUAAAGUAGUCUGUGGUAGAUCAUAUUAAUAGCCAUCCCCAGUGAAUCAAACUAGUUUGGGUCCAUAGGCCUUUGCAAUGUGAUACUCCUGCCAUUAAGAAGUAGAGCCUAUUUCCCCAACUCUUGAAUCUGGGUUGGCAAAGUGGCUUGCCUUGACUGGCAGAAUAUGAUAUAAAUGCUACUGUAUGAGUUCCAGAGACUAGCUUUGAGAGGCCUUGCAUUUCUGCUCUUGCCUUAUUAGCAUCCCAAGACAACCAUGCUGUGAAGAAGUCGGUCUACCCCACUGGAGAAGGAAAGGCUGUUCAGGGAAGUGAAGAUGCCCCAGCUGACAGUCACCACCUGCCAGACAUGUGAGCAAGGCUGUCUGAGACCUUCAGUCUCAGUCAAGCCAUCAGAAAGUUGCAGCCAGUUGAGUGAUCCCAAGUGAGACCAGCAGCGAUAAUGCCCAGUUUGCCAAAACAGAAUUGUGAGAAAUAAUAAAUCAUUGUUGUUUUAAGCCAGGUGUGGGCAGACAUUUUCUUAAAGGACCAGACAGUGUUUUAGGCUUGUGGGUCAUAUCAUCUCUGGCACAGGUACUCAACUCUACCCUGUAACACAGAGCAGACACAGACCAUGUGUAAAUGCAUGAGUGUCACUGUGUGGCUAUAAAUCUUUACUUAUAAAAACUGACUGUUGGCCCAUGGGCUGUAGUUUGCUGCUGACCCCUGUUUUAAGUCACUAAGUUUUGGGAUGGUUUGUCACAUAACAAAAGGUAACCAAAACAGUCUCAAGGAAAGAACCAAGCUGCUAGCAAACUAUCUCUACCGAUAAUUUUUCAGGUUACUAUUUAGUAAUAGUAACAAUUAUAACAGCCAACAUAUUUAAAGGGCAUUACAUGUUACAAAAUAGUUUCACAUGAAUUAUUUCAUUUAUGAAGUCGCUGCAAUCAGUGAAAUAGACAUAAGUGAUUAUUAAGUCCAUUUUACUGAUGAAUAAGUAAAGAUUCAGAAAGUUUGCUUGACCAAGAUCACAUUGCUAAAAAGUGGCAGAACCAAUCCCAUCUUUUCUCCAUCUGUCUUUCUUAGCAGUAUGCUACUACUGUGUUAUUUUAGCAAUUAAAGGGAUUGCAAUAGGUCUGAGAGUGGGGAAAACAGGUAAAGAGGCAGAGACUCAAUCACUCCAUUAACCAAUGGAAGCAUUGCUUUGGGAGAACCUAGUGGAGUCUAAGCUGUAAUUAACCCUAUGCUUGCUUUUGAGAAGUAACAUUGUUAAAGAAUGAGAAAGCAAAGCCUCUGUCAAACAAAGUACACAGAGGACCUCAUGUUGGGGCAGGGUUGGAGUUACAGACAGGUAGAAAACAUAGAAAGCUACAUACUUUCUUGGCUGACAGAAGGAAAUAAUGAACUUUUAUUAUGGAACUAUUUUUUAAAUAAGAAGACAGUCAUGGCAAAGCAUUAAGCGCUACAGACAGUGUCAGGGCAAGUAAGAGCAAAACAGGUACUGGGUGACUGCCUGGCUGAGGAAAAGUUAACUAGACACUUGGGGAAAGGAGAUCCAAGGGAGUAAGAGGCAAAAUGCCUUUGCAUGCUUUUCUUCCUAUCUCUUUUUCUUUCUCUCCUUCUCACUCUCUCCCUUCCUUCCUUUCUUCCUUUCUCUUUCUUUAUUUUUUCUCUUUUCCCCCACCUCUCUGCCUGCCUCCUUCCUUCCCUCCCCUCCCCUCCCUUCCCCCUCCCUCCCUCCCUCCCUCCCUUCCUUCCUUCCUUCCUUCCUUCCUUCCUUCCUUCCUUCCUUCCUUCCCUCCCUCCUCUCUCCCUCCUUCCCUGCCUUCUUUCCUUCGUUCUGCCAACUUGCCAGAAGGAGCCCAAGAAAAAGCACCCAGAUGCUUCAGUCAACUUCUUAGAAUUCUUCUUUUUUUUAUGUUCAGAAAAGAUGGAAAUUCAUUUCUGCUAAAGAGAAAGAAAAAAUUGGAAGACAGGGUGAAGGUGAACAGGCCCAUUAUAAGAAAGAAACAAAAAUCUAUAUUCUGUCUACAAGGAAACGAGAGAGAGAAAGAGAGAGAAGAAAGAAGUUCCAGGAUUCUAAUGUACCAAAGGGAUCUCCUUUUUCUUGUUUUGUUCUGAAAAUUUCACCAAAAGAGCACAGGAGAACAUCUUGGCUAAUUCAUUGGCGAUGAUGUAAGAAAACUGAGAGAAAUGAAAGAAAUGAAGAAUUACUGCUGCAGAUAAUAUACAGCCUUGAGGAAAGAAAGGCUUUUAAGAUUAUAGAUAUAAAGGCUAUUGCUGUAUUCUGGGAUAAAAGAAAGUCUGAUGCAGGGAAAGGGGAAGUUGGAAAAACUGGAAAAAGAAAAAAGAAGAAAAGAAAAAAAGGACUGGAAAGACAUUGGUGAAUAGAAAGAUGAAAAGGGUGAAGAAAAAAAUGAUGAUGGUCAAUAGGGUGGUUUUAAAAGAGGCUUUUGUUUUAUUAAUUUGUUUUUGUGUGAGUGUGUGUGUAUGUGUUUGUUUUUUGCCUAAAAGUAUUUAACUCCGCAUUACACCACUGAUUUCAAAGAAAAAAAGCUGAAAUGUAAGAUCAUAUGAUUUGUUUUUAAACUGAACACUGUAUACUGUCUUUUUAUUUUUGCAAAAUUAAUGUAGUAUCCAGUGUGUCUUUAGAUAACCCUGUCCUUAAUGAUAUUUUCAAUAGCCACUAACCUUGCCUGGUACUGUUUCGGGGUUUAAACUAGAACAGAAAUUUAAGGCAGGCUUUAUUAGUGCAUAGUACAAAUCAAUUACAUAUAUAUGGAGAUAUUAUUUUUCCCUCUUCAAUUGUUUUUCAUGCAGCUUACCCAAUAUAAUUGUUCUGUUAGUUGUACACUACUCUGUGAUAGCAAAUAAUAAUAAUAAAAUAAUUAUGAUGAUAUUGC